rnacentral:sRNA from 10 species
UGAUAUCAGGGGUCAAAAGGUCAAAAAGUCGUUCGUGCUUGCACGAUAAGACUUUUGAACUGGGGACCCGCCAACCAUGAGAAAGUAGCGAUUUACGCAGUAAAUCAGCGGAUUUCGAAUGUUUGAGAAUUGUGGGAGCUGCUUGNCAGCGGAGCAAUUCGUGGAUAUCA